GCACCUCACCAAACUCUCUCCUCUUUGCUUUUUUUUUGUCUUUUGACAGAUUCACUCAAUACAGAUCGAAAGAUGGCUCUAUCAACAAGCCGAGCCAUUAACCACAUCAUGAAGCCGUUAUCGGCGGCGGUGUGCGCCACACGCCGCCUAUCAUCGGACUCCACCGCCACAAUCACCGUGGAGACAAGUCUACCUUUCACCAGCCACAACGUCGAUCCUCCUUCCCGCUCCGUCGAAACAAGCCCCAAGGAACUCAUGACUUUCUUCAAGGACAUGACGGAGAUGCGUCGGAUGGAGAUCGCUGCUGAUUCUCUUUACAAAGCGAAACUCAUCCGUGGAUUUUGCCAUCUGUAUGAUGGACAGGAAGCUGUUGCUGUUGGUAUGGAAGCUGCAAUUACCAAAAAGGACUGUAUUAUUACUGCUUAUAGAGAUCAUUGUAUCUUCCUCGGCCGUGGUGGAACUUUAGUGGAGUCGUUUGCGGAGCUUAUGGGAAGGAGAGAUGGUUGUUCGAGAGGUAAAGGUGGUUCGAUGCAUUUUUAUAAGAAGGAAAGUGGAUUUUAUGGAGGUCAUGGUAUUGUUGGUGCUCAGGUUCCUUUAGGGAUUGGAUUGGCAUUUGCACAGAAGUAUAAAAAAGAGGAUUAUGUUACUUUUGCCAUGUAUGGUGACGGUGCUGCUAAUCAAGGGCAAUUGUUUGAGGCUUUGAAUAUGGCUGCAUUAUGGGAUCUUCCUGCAAUUCUAGUUUGCGAGAAUAACCACUAUGGAAUGGGGACAGCAGAAUGGAGGGCUGCAAAAAGUCCAGCUUAUUACAAGAGAGGAGAUUAUGUUCCUGGUCUGAGGGUAGAUGGUAUGGAUGUCUUUGCCGUUAAACAAGCAUGCGCAUUUGCUAAGCAACACGCCCUCAAGAAUGGACCAAUUAUUCUUGAAAUGGACACCUAUAGGUACCAUGGUCACUCUAUGUCUGAUCCAGGAAGCACCUACCGCACUCGUGAUGAAAUUAGUGGUGUUAGACAGGAACGUGAUCCUGUUGAAAGAAUCAGGAGCCUCAUAUUAGCCCAUAAUAUAGCCACUGAGGCAGAGCUGAAGGAUAUUGAGAAAGAAAACAGAAAAGUUGUAGAUGAAGCUAUUGCUAAAGCAAAGGAGAGCCCCAUGCCUGAACCUUCUGAGCUCUUCACCAAUGUAUAUGUGAAAGGGUUUGGAGUUGAGGCCUAUGGAGCAGAUAGGAAGGAACUCAGAGCUACACUUCCCUGAGGAGACCAUGUUUGCAUUUUUUGAUCGCCUUUUCAUACGCACACGAGAUAAAGCUAUAAGUACAACAAAUAAUUAUGAUGGUAAAAUCAUUGUGCUUCAUCAGGCAUAGUAACUGAAAUGGUUUGUCUUAAAAGUAGGAAAAUUCCACCCUUGUCAAUGUUUCCUUUCUCCAACUGUAAACACUCUUCUUGUGUAUUUCCCGUUUUCCUCUAUUCUUCCAUCUUAGAUUGUAAUAAAUUCGAGAGUGUUGUUUUUACAUUCAUAUCACCAUUUUACCUCACUACAUGAGCCUCGAGGGUUUUGCAAAAACAGUCUCUCGACUUCCGUGAGGUAGGAAAUGAGAUAGAUGUACACUCUACCUUCCUCAUAUUUUACUUAUUAG
rnacentral:misc_RNA from 1 species